GCUGGUSUAGCUUAAUACAAAGCAUAGCACUGAAGAUGCUAAGAUGGACCCUAACAAGUCCCACAAGCA
rnacentral:tRNA from 1 species